rnacentral:rRNA from 1 species
AACGAACGCUGGCGGCAGGCUUAACACAUGCAAGUCGAACGCAUCCUUCGGGGUGAGUGGCAGACGGGUGAGUAACGCGUGGGAACGUGCCCUUCAGUUCGGGAUAACCCAGGGAAACUUGGGCUAAUACCGGAUACGUGCGAGAGCAGAAAGAUUUAUCGCUGAAGGAUCGGCCCGCGUCUGAUUAGCUAGUUGGUGGGGUAAUGGCCCACCAAGGCGACGACCAGUAGCUUGUCUGAGAGGAUGAUCAGCCACAUUGGGACUGAGACACGGCCCCAACUCCUGCGGGAGGCAGCAGUGGGGAAUAUUGGACAAUGGGCGCAAGCCUGAGCCAGCCAUGCCGCGUGAGUGAUGAAGGCCUUAGGGUUGUAAAGCUCUUUCGUCCGGGACGAUAAUGACGGUACCGGAAGAAGAAGCCCCGGCUAACUUCGUGCCAGCCGCCGCAGUAA